rnacentral:ncRNA from 1 species
UAAAGGUUUGGUCCUAGCCCUCCUAUUGAUUCUUAAUAAGAUUAUACAUGCAAGCCUCCGCAUCCCGGUGAAAAUGCCCUCUAAAUCUCACAUAACUGAGUAAAAGGAGCAGGUAUCAAGCACACUAAACAAGUAGCUCAUAACACCUUGCUUAACCACACCCCCACGGGACACAGCAGUAAUAAAAAUUAAGCCAUGAACGAAAGUUCGACUAAGCUAUAUUAAAUACCCAGGGUUGGUAAAUUUCGUGCCAGCCACCGCGGUCAUACGAUUAACCCAAAUCAAUAGGUCCUCGGCGUAAAGCGUGUUAAAAACUUAAUUUACACUAAAGUUAAAAACUAACCAAGCCGUAAAAAGCUACCGUUAGCAUAAAAUAAGCUACGAAAGUGACUUUACUAACUCCUGAUUACACGAUAGCUAAGACCCAUACUGGGAUUAGAUACCCCACUAUGCUUAGCCCUAAACAUAAAUAGUUAACGCAACAAAACUAUUCGCCAGAGAACUACUAGCAACAGCUUAAAACUCAAAGGACUUGGCGGUGCUUCACACCCCUCUAGAGGAGCCUGUUCUAUAAUCGAUAAACCCCGAUAAACCUCACCACUCCUUGCUAAUUCAGUCUAUAUACCGCCAUCUUCAGCAAACCCUUAAAAGGAAUAGAAGUAAGCACAAUAAUUACCACAUAAAAAAGUUAGGUCAAGGUGUAACCUAUGGAGUGGGAAGAAAUGGGCUACAUUUUCUAAACAAGAACAAUAACACACGAAAGUUUUUAUGAAACUAACAAACUAAAGGUGGAUUUAGCAGUAAAUUAAGAAUAGAGAGCUUAAUUGAACCGGGCCAUGAAGCACGCACACACCGCCCGUCACCCUCCUCAAAUAUAUUCUCCAAACUAAAUAAAACAGACACAAAACACAUUAGAGGAGACAAGUCGUAACAAGGUAAGCAUACUGGAAAGUGUGCUUGGAUAAAC